rnacentral:rRNA from 1 species
CUGCUGCCUUCCGUAGGAGUCUGGGCCGUGUCUCAGUCCCAGUGUGGCUGGUCGUCCUCUCAGACCAGCUACUGAUCGUUGCUUUGGUGAGCCGUUACCUCACCAACCGGCUAAUCAGUCAUCGGCCGCUCCGCUCGCGAGAGGCCCUUGCGGGUCCCCCUCUUUCUUCCGUAGAACUCAUGCGGUAUUAGCCAACCUUUCGGCUGGUUGUCCCCCACGAGCCGGACACGUUCCGAUGUAUUACUCACCCGUUCG